CCUACGGGUGGCAGCAGUCGAGAAUCAUUCACAAUGGGGGCAACCCUGAUGGUGCGACGCCGCGUGGGGGAAUGAAGGUCUUCGGAUUGUAAACCCCUGUCAUGUGGGAGCAAAUUAAAAAGAUAGUACCACAAGAGGAAGAGACGGCUAACUCUGUGCCAGCAGCCGCGGUAAUACAGAGGUCUCAAGCGUUGUUCGGAAUCACUGGGCGUAAAGCGUGCGUAGGCUGUUUCGUAAGUCGUGUGUGAAAGGCGGGGGCUCAACCCGCGGAUGGCACAUGAUACUGCGAGACUAGAGUAUUGGAGGGGGAACCGGAAUGCACGGUGUAGCAGGGAAAUGCGUAGAUAUCGAGAGGAACACUGGUGGCGAAGGCAGGUUCCUGGACAUUAACUGACGCUGAGGCACGAAGGCCAGGGGAGCGAAAGGGAUUAGAUACCCGGGUAGUC
rnacentral:rRNA from 1 species